CUCUCCAGAAUCCUCAAAUCUAAUCCUUGAAUUCAUACUGCUGCUUCCAUCGUCUCCGCUGCCGUUACCCAAAUGAUAAAUGUCUCCGGAAUUCCACCGGUUCCCUCCCAUAACAGGAGGUUCCCUUCUUGGAUCCAUGCCCUCCUCCAUUCCCUUCAAUGAAUCCCUAAAUCCCGUUUUGUUGCACAGGAGCUGGGGCGGAAACAGAACCCAAAAAAU
rnacentral:lncRNA from 1 species